rnacentral:rRNA from 1 species
CAAUAGCGUAUAUUAAAGUUGUUGCAGUUAAAAAGCUCGUAGUUGGACCUUGGACCUGGACAGGCGGUCCGCCUCACGGCGUGUACUGUCUUGCUGGGUCUUUCCUCUUGGUGAUCUGUUGUUUCGGCAGCAGGGAACCAGGACUUUUACUUUGAAAAAAUUAGAGUGUUCAAAGCAGGCUCGACGCCGGAAUAUAUUAGCAUGGAAUAAUAAAAUAGGACGUGCGGUUCUAUUUUGUUGGUUUUUGGAAUCGCCGUAAUGAUUAAUAGGGACAGUCGGGGGCAUUAGUACUCACGUGCUAGAGGUGAAAUUCUUGGAUUUUGUGAAGACUAACUUCUGCGAAAGCAUUUGCCAAGGAUGUUUUCAUUAA